UGAGUACGAGCUGCUACGGCAGCGAAGUGGGUGACGUCAAGCUUCCAAGAAAAGCCCUAUACCCGUUAGGGCAUGAUGGCCUGUACCCGAAACCGACACAGGUGGGGUGGUAGAGAAUACCGAGGGGCGCGAGAUAACUCUCUCUAAGGAACUCGGCAAAAUGGCCCCGUAACUUCGGGAGAAGGGGUGCCACCCAAGGUAGUCGCAGUGAAGAGGCCCAGGCGACUGUUUACCAAAAACACAGGUCUCCGCUAAGUCGCAAGACGAUGUAUGGGGGCUGACGCCUGCCCAGUGCCGGAAGGUUAAGGAAGCUGGUCAGCGUAAGCGAAGCUAGCGACUGAAGCCCCGGUGAACGGCGGCCGUAACAAUAACGGUCCUAAGGUAGCGAAAUUCCUUGUCGGGUAAGUUCCGACCCGCACGAAAGGCGUAACGAUCUGGGCGCUGUCUCGGAGAGAGGCUCGGCGAAAUAGAAUUGUCUGUGAAGAUGCGGACUACGUGCACCCGGACAGAAAGACCCUAUGAAGCUUUACUGUAGCUUGGUAUUGUGCUCGGGCUCGGAAUGCGCAGGAUAGGUGGGAGGCUAUGAACCAUUGCUUGUGGGUGAUGGUGAGCCGCUGGUGAGAUACCACUCUUUCCGAGCUAGAGUUCUAACAGCCACCCGUUAUCCGGGGGCUGGACAGUAUCAGGUGGGCAGUUUGACUGGGGCGGUCGCCUCCUAAAAGGUAACGGAGGCGCGCAAAGGUUUGCUCAGGCUGGUUGGAAAUCAGCCGACGAGUGUAAAAGCAGAAGCAAGCUUGACUGAGAGACCUACAAGUCGAACAGGGAGGAAACUCGGCUUUAGUGAUCCGACGGUUCUGCGUGGAAGGGCCGUCGCUCAACGGAUAAAAGUUACUCUAAGGAUAACAGGCUGAUCUCCCCCAAGAGUUCACAUCGACGGGGAGGUUUGGCACCUCGAUGUCGGCUCAUCGCAACCUGGGGCUGAAGUCGGUCCCAAGGGUUGGGCUGUUCGCCCAUUAAAGCGGUACGCGAGCUGGGUUCAGAACGUCGUGAGACAGUUCGGUCCAUAUCCGGUGCAUGCGCAGGAAUAUUGAGAGGAUUUCUCCCUAGUACGAGAGGACCGGGAGGAACGCACCUCUGGUGUACCAGUUAUCGUGCCAACGGUAAACGCUGGGUAGCCAUGUGCGGAGAGGAUAACCGCUGAAAGCAUCUAAGUGGGAAGCCCACCUCAAGAUGAGUAUUCCCAUGGGUUAACCCAGUAAGGUCACGGGAAGAACACCCGUUGAUAGGCUCUACGUGGAAGCGCAGUAAUGUGUGAAGCGGAGGAGUACUAAUAGACCGAGGGCUUGACCU
rnacentral:rRNA from 1 species